rnacentral:rRNA from 1 species
UACGUAGGGAGCAAGCGUUGUCCGGAAUCAUUGGGCGUAAAGCGCGCGUAGGCGGCCUCAUAAGUCCGUUGUGAAAGUCAAAGGCUCAACCUUUGAAAGCCGAUGGAUACUGUGAGGCUAGAGUCCGGAAGAGGCGAGUGGAAUUCCUGGUGUAGCGGUGGAAUGCGCAGAUAUCAGGAGGAACAUCAGUGGCGAAGGCGGUCUGCUGGGCCGUUGCUGACGCUGAGGCGCGACAGCGUGGGGAGCAAACAGG